UCCAGUUCCAGAGGAUGAUUUAAGUUCCUCAUGGUGUAAUGUCUUGGACCCGACAUGCGAUUCUUUGAUGUGUCGUAUAUCCUGAUUGGUGGCUUUCAUUGUGCCAGCUGAUCUUGGAAAUGCCACAAAUUAUU